rnacentral:rRNA from 1 species
AUUGAACGCUGGCGGCAGGCCUAACACAUGCAAGUCGAGCGGAUGAAGGGAGCUUGCUCCUGGAUUCAGCGGCGGACGGGUGAGUAAUGCCUAGGAAUCUGCCUGGUAGUGGGGGAUAACGUCCGGAAACGGGCGCUAAUACCGCAUACGUCCUGAGGGAGAAAGUGGGGGAUCUUCGGACCUCACGCUAUCAGAUGAGCCUAGGUCGGAUUAGCUAGUUGGUGGGGUAAAGGCCUACCAAGGCGACGAUCCGUAACUGGUCUGAGAGGAUGAUCAGCCACACUGGAACUGAGACACGGUCCAGACUCCUACGGGAGGCAGCAGUGGGGAAUAUUGGACAAUGGGCGAAAGCCCGAUCCAGCCAUGCCGUGUGUGUGAAGAAGGUCUUCGGAUUGUAAAGCACUUUAAGUUGGGAGGAAGGGCAGUAAGUUAAUACCUUGCUGUUUUGACGUUACCAACAGAAUAAGCACCGGCUAACUUCGUG